rnacentral:rRNA from 1 species
CCAGACUCCUACGGGAGGCAGCAGUGGGGAAUAUUGCACAAUGGGGGAAACCCUGAUGCAGCGACGCCGCGUGAGCGAAGAAGUAUUUCGGUAUGUAAAGCUCUAUCAGCAGGGAAGAAAAAAUGACGGUACCUGACUAAGAAGCCCCGGCUAACUACGUGCCAGCAGCCGCGGUAAUACGUAGGGGGCGAGCGUUAUCCGGAUUCACUGGGUGUAAAGGGAGCGUAGACGGCCAUGCAAGCCAGGGGUGAAAGCCCGGGGCCCAACCCCGGGACUGCCCUUGGAACUGCAUGGCUGGAGUGCGGGAGGGGCAGGCGGAAUUCCUGGUGUAGCGGUGAAAUGCGUAGAUAUCAGGAGGAACACCGGCGGCGAAGGCGGCCUGCUGGACCGCGACUGACGUUGAGGCGCGAAAGCGUGGGGAGCGAACAGGAUUAGAUACCCCAGUACU